UUAUAAAGUGCAUGUUUACAAUAACUAAAUUUAAAAGGUUUGGGGAAGAACUAUGUAAGUAUUGUUUAAAAAAGAAAAAGUGCCUUUUAGUUAUCUAAGUUCUUAAAAUUUCGUUCUGAAGUGCUUGUUCACAGGCAGUUGUAUCUCAGGCAUCAAAUAUUUUCCCUGAGGUAUUCUUUCACUUGAAUUCCAUAGAAUCAACCACAAGUCUGGUAGGCUACAUACGCACAGCAAAUGGCAAAGUCCAUCUUUGAAAGCUUGUAGUCCAAGUGAAAAUAAUAGUGUUGAUAAGGUAAAUGCAAAGGACUGAAACAUAAAGUUGAUAAUUAGGACAAUAUUGUGAUAAUGUGAUUACGCACACUACUUUGCCUUUCCAGAGAGCAAUGUGUGAAAGGUUUAGUAAUGCACAGUUCACACUGCUGUCUUGUGCUGUGCUAACACUAUUCCUUGUAUAUGUGUCGUGUUAUUGUUCACUGAAUAUAGGCUUCCUUAAUUAUUCACCUACUCUGUAAUUAGUUGCCAUCCAUUAAUUUUUCACCUAGAGAAAAAAAUAAAACCUUUUCUAUAUCUGGA